GUGUCAGCAGCCGCGGUCAUACGUAGGGUCCAAGCGUUAUCCGGAAUUACUGGGCGUAAAGAGUUGCGUAGGUGGUUUAUUAAGCAAAUAGUGAAAGCGUGGGGCUCAACCUCAUAAACAUUAUUUGAACUGGUAGACUUGAGAACGAGAGAGGUAGAUGGAAUUUCUAGUGUAGGAGUGAAAUCCGUAGAUAUUAGAAGGAACACCGAUGGCGUAGGCAGUCUACUGGCUCGUUUCUGACACUAAGGCACGAAAGCGUGGGGAGCAAACGGGAUUAGAUACCCCGGUAGUCCACGCCGUAAACGAUGCAUGCUAGCUGUAAGACGUAUCGACCCGUCUUGUAGCGAAGCUAACGCGUUAAGCAUGCCGCCUGGGGAGUACGGUCGCAAGAUUAAA
rnacentral:rRNA from 1 species